rnacentral:lncRNA from 1 species
AGAAAUGAAGUUGAAAAUAGCACAGGAGCCCACUAUCACUGUGUGAACAUUUUGUGAAUGAAGACAUGUAUGAAAGGAUGUUUGGAGGCUUCAAGAAACGAAAGCCGAGAGUCUAGCUAGACCAGAGCCAUCCAGCCCAGGAGCGAUGGCCACGUGUGGCCGCUGGACACGAGAGACGUGGCCAGUCCAAACUGUGCAGUGCGGUUGAAAAAAACAUUUUGGAUAUAUGGUGUUAAAUAAACAUGAUUACAAUGACUUUCGCUGUCAGCCUCCCGGAGGCUCAUUUUGCUCCUCUGGGCCACAGCCAGCUCAGAGGGUUGCUCUAGGAAAUAUCUACACGUUCUUGAAGCACAGGUUUAUGUGCCAGGCACUGUACUAAGUGCUGGGGACACGGCGUUAAGACCAGGCCCUCACGGAGCCCUCACUCUCUGAGGAGGAACAAUAAGUCAGAGAGCGCGCGAGUGCAGCCCUUCAGGCAAAGGAUUUCAGGCCCAGGUCAGGAAGGCCUUGUCUGAGGAGUCUGAGAAGAAGUCAAUUGACAACAGCUAGAACAUCUAGGUCAGGCACUCCAGGCCGACACGACAAAGCAGGUGCAAAGGCCCCAGGGCGGGAACCAGCGUGGCUUGUUCACAGAACAAGGAGGUAGAUCGCUUGCCCUUGGGACCAAAGGAAGGCUCUGGAUUUUAUUCUAGGGGCAGUGGAAGCCGUUGGAGGGCCUCAGGCAGGAACACAAGGUGUCGUGGCAGAAAGGAAGAAGGGGCCGGGCACGGUGGCCCACACCCGUCAUCCCAGCACUUUGGGAGGGAGGCCAAGGCAGGAGGAUCGCUUCAAUCCAGGAGUUCAAGAUCAGCCUGGGCAACACAGCAAGACCCCGUCUCUACUAAAACCCUAAAACUUAGCCAGGCUUGGUGGCAUGUGCCUAAGGUCCCAGGUCCUCGGGAGACUAAGGCAGGAGGAUUGCUUAAGCCCAAGAGUUUGAGGCUGCAGUGAACUAUUA